AUUGAACGCUGGCGGCAGGCUUAACACAUGCAAGUCGAGCGGGGUGAUGGUGCUUGCACUAUCACUUAGCGGCGGACGGGUGAGUAAUGCUUAGGAAUCUGCCUAUUAGUGGGGGACAACAUCUCGAAAGGGAUGCUAAUACCGCAUACGUCCUACGGGAGAAAGCAGGGGAUCACUUGUGACCUUGCGCUAAUAGAUGAGCCUAAGUCGGAUUAGCUAGUUGGUGGGGUAAAGGCCUACCAAGGCGACGAUCUGUAGCGGGUCUGAGAGGAUGAGCCGGCACGCUGGGCCUGAGACACGGCCCCGACUCCUACGGGAGGCAGCAGUGGGGAAUAUUGGACAAUGGGGGGAACCCUGAUCCAGCCAUGCCGCGUGUGUGAAGAAGGCCUUAUGGUUGUAAAGCACUUUAAGCGAGGAGGAGGCUCUUUUGGUUAAUACCCAAGAUGAGUGGACGUUACUCGCAGAAUAAGCACCGGCUAACUCUGUGCCAGCAGCCGCGGUAA
rnacentral:rRNA from 1 species